rnacentral:rRNA from 1 species
GAUGAACGCUGGCGGCGUGCCUAAUACAUGCAAGUCGAGCGAACGGACGAGAAGCUUGCUUCUCUGAUGUUAGCGGCGGACGGGUGAGUAACACGUGGAUAACCUACCUAUAAGACUGGGAUAACUUCGGGAAACCGGAGCUAAUACCGGAUAAUAUUUUGAACCGCAUGGUUCAAAAGUGAAAGACGGUCUUGCUGUCACUUAUAGAUGGAUCCGCGCUGCAUUAGCUAGUUGGUAAGGUAACGGCUUACCAAGGCAACGAUGCAUAGCCGACCUGAGAGGGUGAUCGGCCACACUGGAACUGAGACACGGUCCAGACUCCUACGGGAGGCAGCAGUAGGGAAUCUUCCGCAAUGGGCGAAAGCCUGACGGAGCAACGCCGCGUGAGUGAUGAAGGUCUUCGGAUCGUAAAACUCUGUUAUUAGGGAAGAACAUAUGCGUAAGUAACUGUGCACAUCUUGACGGUACCUAAUCAGAAAGCCGCGGCUAACUACGUG